rnacentral:rRNA from 1 species
GGUGGCAGUCUACAGCCCUGAACACAUCUGAUCCCGUCUGAUCUUGGAAGCUAAGCAGGAUCGGGCCUGGUUAAUACUUGGAUGGGAGACCACCUAAGAAGACCAGGUGCUGUAGGUG